CACAUGUCUCACACUGCAGGUGGACACACGCAACCAGAGUGAAAGGACCUGUUGCUCCACCACCCCUGAAAGAGUGGACUGUGUCAUCAACGCCUGGGGACCUACGACUUAAACUCCAGAAGAGAC